CACACACUUUGGAAAACAUAUCCUUGAAUUAUAAAACCAUGAUAUACGUUGAAGUUCUGCGACAAGUUUGUGUUUGUCGUUUGAUAGACUGUAAUUUUCCGUGCUUGUUUAUAGUGACAAAAAUGCUGAUGUGCUGGAACCAGAUUUUUUUUUCAAGUUAUUUUUUGCAGUUUCUCGCAACGAAACAAAAAGUCCAAAAACGGUUCCUGGUCGGAUAAUGGUGAUGAUCGGUGGUGAAUCUCGCGACCUUUUGUGCAGAAGGAAUUAGCGUUGAGCAUACCACAUCGUCACCUUGGAGCAACUUUCCUGGAUACCAUACAACCCGUGACAAGGAAGACGCAUUAAAGAUGUUGCUUUAUGCUAUCAAGUAGUUAUUGCAAUAAACUAUAUAAUAAUAAUGUAACAUAUUUA